GACGAACGCUGGCGGCGCGCUUAACACAUGCAAGUCGAGCGAAGCGGCGGACGGGUGAGUAACACGUGAGUAACCUGCCUUAGACAUUGGGAUAGCCUCGGGAAACCGGGAUUAAUACCAAAUGGUCAAAGAUGGACUCGCGUCCCAUUAGCUAGUUGGUGGGUAACGGCCCACCAAGGCAACGAUGGGUAGCCGGCCUGAUAGGGUUAACUGCCACAUUGGAACUGAGAAACGGUCCAAACUCUACGGGAGGCAGCAGUUGGGAAGAUUGCACAAUGGAGGGAACUCUGAUGCAGCGACGCCGCGUGAACGAAGAAGGCUGUCUAGUCGUAAAGUUCUUUUAUAUGGGAAGCGGUACCAUAAGAAAAAGCCCCGGCUAACUACGUGCCAGCAGCCGCGGUAAUAC
rnacentral:rRNA from 1 species